rnacentral:rRNA from 1 species
CCCUUAGAUGUUCUGGGCCGCACGCGCGCUACACUGGCACGUUCAACAAGUUUACAACCUUGAUCGAUAGGUCUGGGUAAUCUUUUUAAUGCGUACCGUGCUAGGGAUAGAUUAUUGCAAUUAUUAAUCUUGAACGAGGAAUUCCUAGUAAACGCAAGUCAUCAGCUUGCAUUGAUUACGUCCCUGCCCUUUGUACACACCGCCCGUCGCACCUACUGAUUGAAUGACUCGGUGAAAAAUUGGGACUGUGAGAACAAUCGAUUCAGUUCGAAUGUACUCGUGGAAACUUUUUUUAACCUCGCCAUUUAGAAGAAGGUGAAGUCGUANCA